UACGUAGGGGGCUAGCGUUGUCCGGAAUCAUUGGGCGUAAAGAGCGUGUAGGCGGUCCAGUAAGUCCGCUGUGAAAGUCGGGGGCUCAACCCUCGAAUGCCGGUGGAUACUGUCGGGCUAGAGUGCGGAAGAGGCGAGUGGAAUUCCUGGUGUAGCGGUGAAAUGCGCAGAUAUCAGGAGGAACACCUAUUGCGAAGGCAGCUCGCUGGGACGUUACUGACGCUGAGACGCGAAAGCGUGGGGAGCAAACAGG
rnacentral:rRNA from 1 species